rnacentral:ncRNA from 1 species
UACAUUUGCACCCGCAUACAUAAAAAUCAUUAAAUAAUAUUGGCAUG